GCAAGUUGAACGGGAUGAUACCUUCGGGUAUCGGCGAGUAGCGCACGGGUGCGUAACGCGUAGGAAUAUACCAUAUAGUAGAGAAUAACUAUUAGAAAUGAUAGCUAAUACUCUAUAGUCCCUUCGGGGUAAAGAUUUAUCGCUAUAUGAUUAGCCUGCGUUAGAUUAGCUAGUUGGUGAGGUAAUUGCUCACCAAGGCUUCGAUCUAUAGCUGGUCUGAGAGGAUGAUC
rnacentral:rRNA from 1 species